rnacentral:rRNA from 1 species
GCGCAGCAGUCGCGAAACUUCACACUGUGCGAAAGCACGAUGAGGGAAUCCCAAGUGCUUGCACGUAAGUGUAAGCUGUUUCUCUGUCUAAAACGCAGAGAGAGUAAGGGCUGGGUAAGACGGGUGCCAGCCGCCGCGGUAAUACCUGCAGCUCAAGUGGUGACCGUUAUUAUUGGGCCUAAAACGUCCGUAGCCGGUUUAAUAAAUGCCUGGGUAAAUUGUGUAGCUUAACUAUACGAAUUCCGGGUAGACUGUUAAACUUGAGACCGGGAGAAGUUAGAGGUACUCCUAGGGUAGAGGUGAAAUUCUGUAAUCCUAGGGGGACCACCAGUGGCGAAGGCGUCUAACUAGAACGGGUCUGACGGUGAGGGACGAAGCCCUGGGGCGCAAAC